AUUGAACGCUGGCGGCAGGCCUAACACAUGCAAGUCGAGCGAGCGGCGGACGGGUGAGUAAUGUAUGGGGACUGCCCGAUAGCGGGGGAUAACUCCUGGAAACGGUGGCUAAUACCGCAUACUAUCAGAUAACCCAUAUGGGAUUAGCUUGUAGGUGAGGUAACGGCGCACCUGGGCUAAGCUCCCUAGCUGGUCUGAGAGGAUGAUCAGCGACACUGGGACUGAGACACGGCCCAGACUCCUACGGAGGCAGCAGUGGGGAAUAUUGCACAAUGGGCGCAAGCCGGAUGCAGCCAUGCCGCUUGUAUGAAGAAGGCCCUAGGGUUGUAAAGUACUUUCAGUCGGGAGGCGUUACCGACAGAAGAAGCAACGGCUAACUCCGUGCGAGCCGCCGCGGUAAUAC
rnacentral:rRNA from 1 species